AUGUUAGCUUUCACCAAAAGAAAGUUGUUAGAAUUGUUAGCCUUUCUAUAACAACAGUACAGGAGCCGGUGCUGCCGGCAACACUAACAAUAUCCUUUCUCAGAAAGAUAACGGCGGCUAACAAAAAAUCCGGCGCAGACUCAGUAGUUGAUAUUGGCAAACAGUCGACAACACUAACAAUAUCCUUUCUCAGAAAGAUAACGGCGGCUAACAAAAAAAAUCCAGCGCAGACUCAGAAGCCCAGUUGAUAUUUUUAAUCACGUUGAGCCUCUCGAAAAUCUCGAAGAGAAUCUGUAAAGAAUGUAAAGAAAUGUAAUAAAAUAUGGUUUAACAUGUCAGGUUAAGCCAUGGGCCUAAUGUAUAUAUAAUAUUUGACAAAGAAGGCGUGAAAUCGUAGAGCACUCUAACAAUUCAAACAGUCGGUCAUAAACCGAUGUCCAAAUCUCGGAAUCCUGUCUAUUGAGAACCGACUGACAAAGAUACGGUUAAGUAAUCACUUCUAAUCAAGCAUAAGUGAUGUGUGGCACUGGUUUAGUCAAAUGAAAAGUAAAAACAUCUAUUCAUCACAGACGAGGAAUCGUAAUCGUCGCCACUAUAUGGCAGUUUUAAUAGUCAAAUCGGAAACCGGCAUCGAAAUUCUGGAUUCUUGUUCAGCUCUUCUAGUGUUGUCAUCCGCCUGUCCUCAAUUAAGGAGACGGAUUAAUAUACGUAUGCAUAUACUUUUUUUCUGAAUCCUGUUAAUAUUUAUGUAUGAAAUGUAAAGAAAUGUAAAAUAUGGUUUAGACUAAAUUCCGGAUUUACAUGACCUCUUUUUAUAAAGAGGAUUUAACAACUAGAAACUGAUUUGACACCCGAUACGACUGAUGUUAUACGUUUCAAGCGGUAUUAUGUUAGUGGGGUUAGCCGCUAGGAAGCGUAACACGGGAUACCGUGUAGAAACCGUGCGGUAUUGGUGUUAACACUUCAAGCAGAACACGGGAUGGAAUACUGGGAUGUGGAACUCUUCAAUGCAAAGAGAUGUGAAAAAUGCGACGAAGAUUUGCACGAAAGGGGCCAAAAUACAUGAGUGUAUGAUAGCUCAGGAAGACGAGUGGAGUAUUUCCGAUAUCAGGGGUCUUCUUGCAAUACAAGUACAAUCAAUGAAGGAAGAUGUAGUGAUGUGCCAUUUGCUGUUCCGGACAACAAUCAUGUUGAUGACCUAGGAAAUGUUGCAUCUGGCAGCAAUAGAAAGUAUAGCCAGAAGAGGAAGCAGCUAUCGGAUUCCUGGAAAGCUGUCUACAAAAGGUAGGAGACUGUUCGUUUUCAAGCAGGGAAUGUGCUGCAAUCCAAAAUUAAAAAUGACAAACUUGACAUCACUGGAGUAUUUGGUUCAGUGUGUAAACACGACUUCCCCCAGAAAUUUUGCAACCUUAGACAUGGUGAAAGGUAAUGGUUAUAAUUUCCGACAUCCAAAACA